rnacentral:rRNA from 1 species
UAGCAUAUCAAUAAGCGGAGGAAAAGAAACCAACCGGGAUUGCCUUAGUAACGGCGAGUGAAGCGGCAAAAGCUCAAAUUUGAAAUCUGGUACCUUCGGUGCCCGAGUUGUAAUUUGGAGAGGGCAACUUUGGGGCCGUUCCUUGUCUAUGUUCCUUGGAACAGGACGUCAUAGAGGGUGAGAAUCCCGUGUGGCGAGGAGUGCGGUUCUUUGUAAAGUGCCUUCGAAGAGUCGAGUUGUUUGGGAAUGCAGCUCUAAGUGGGUGGUAAAUUCCAUCUAAAGCUAAAUAUUGGCGAGAGACCGAUAGCGAACAAGUACAGUGAUGGAAAGAUGAAAAGAACUUUGAAAAGAGAGUGAAAAAGUACGUGAAAUUGUUGAAAGGGAAGGGCAUUUGAUCAGACAUGGUGUUUUGUGCCCUCUGCUCCUUGUGGGUAGGGGAAUCUCGCAUUUCACUGGGCCAGCAUCAGUUUUGGUGGCAGGAUAAAUCCAUAGGAAUGUAGCUUGCCUCGGUAAGUAUUAUAGCCUGUGGGAAUACUGCCAGCUGGGACUGAGGACUGCGACGUAAGUCAAGGAUGCUGGCAUAAUGGUUAUAUGCCGCCCGUCUUGAAACACGGACCAAGGAGUCUAACGUCUAUGCGAGUGUUUGGGUGUAAAACCCAUACGCGUAAUGAAAGUGAACGUAGGUUGGGGCCUCGCAAGAGGUGCACAAUCGACCGAUCCUGAUGUCUUCGGAUGGAUUUGAGUAAGAGCAUAGCUGUUGGGACCCGAAAGAUGGUGAACUAUGCCUGAAUAGGGUGAAGCCAGAGGAAACUCUGGUGGAGGCUCGUAGCGGUUCUGACGUGCAAAUCGAUCGUCGAAUUUGGGUAUAGGGGCGAAAGACUAAUCGAACCAUCUAGUAGCUGG